rnacentral:rRNA from 1 species
AUUGAACGCUGGCGGCAGGCCUAACACAUGCAAGUCGAGCGGAUGAAGGGAGCUUGCUCCUGGAUUCAGCGGCGGACGGGUGAGUAAUGCCUAGGAAUCUGCCUGGUAGUGGGGGAUAACGUCCGGAAACGGGCGCUAAUACCGCAUACGUCCUGAGGGAGAAAGUGGGGGAUCUUCGGACCUCACGCUAUCAGAUGAGCCUAGGUCGGAUUAGCUAGUUGGUGGGGUAAAGGCCUAUCAAGGCGACGAUCCGUAACUGGUCUGAGAGGAUGAUCAGUCACACUGGAACUGAGACACGGUCCAGACUCCUACGGGAGGCGGCAGUGGGGAAUAUUGGACAAUGGGCGAAAGCCUGAUCCAGCCAUGCCGCGUGUGUGAAGAAGGUCUUCGGAUUGUAAAGCACUUUAAGUUGGGAGGAAGGGCAGUAAGUUAAUACCUUGCUGUUUUGACGUUACCAACAGAAUAAGCACCGGCUAACUUCGUG